ensembl:lncRNA
UGGCUUUAACAGGCUGUGCGCGCUCCCGCGGCUGAAAUCACUUUCUGGCAGCUGAUCACUUUUCGGCACAACACCGGCCCUAGUCUCGGACAUGGUGCUUAACUGUUGCUGAGGCUUGGACAGAACUGGGUAAAAGGGCCUUUAAGUUAUUUGCACCGUCUUCCUGGAAUAACCUGCAGAAGCAGCUCAAGCUUCAGGACCUAUUGACUCUUAAUGAAUCUAAAGCUGUUAAGAGUUUGAUGUCAGACUCUUUUGGAAAUUACAAACGUUUUAGUCAAUAAUCUUAAUGCAUUUUCACAAUUGCACUUAGUAUUGAACUUGCAUUAACGUUUUAUGUUGGAACUGUGUACUGCUAUCCAUCUUGGCUAGGUCUCUCUUGUCAAAGAGAUUUUAAUUUCAAUGAGACUAACCUGGUUAAAUAAAGGAAAGAAGAAGAAGAAGAAGAAAGAAGAAGAAGAAGAAGAAGAACUCUCACACCAUAUGACCAUAUAUAGUACCGCUUAAAACAUCCGGAACACCGAAAGUAAAAGUGAAGGUUUUGUCCGGUCCUUUGAGCAGAACGCAACACAGCAGUCGCUACGGGCUACAGCCAGAUGGAACCGGUCCAGUCUUCGUUUUGCACCAGGACAGCCUUGAAUAUCCUUCCAAUAUUUGGUGAAGAUGGUGCUUAAAGGUACAUUUUAUUAAUUAAUGACCUAUGGUAAGUAAAUGUUCUGUAUUAUUGUAUCCUCAAGUGUAAAUGAAGGAGCAUUGUGCAGGGAAAUAUUAUGUACUUGUUCACAUUGUGGGCUCAUAGAAAGAAGAUAAAGUAUUUGAUUUUUUUACUGCU